rnacentral:rRNA from 1 species
GACGAACGCUGGCGGCGUGCUUAACACAUGCAAGUCGAGCGGGUAAGGCCCUUUCGGGGGUACACGAGCGGCGAACGGGUGAGUAACACGUGGGUGACCUGCCCUCAGCUCUGGGAUAAGCCCGGGAAACUGGGUCUAAUACUGGAUAUGACUCCAUGACGCAUGUUGUGGGGUGGAAAGCCUUGUGCGGCUGAGGAUGGGCCCGCGGCCUAUCAGCUUGUUGGUGGGGGAUGGCCUACCAAGGCGACGACGGGUAGCCGGCCUGAGAGGGCGACCGGCCACACUGGGACUGAGACACGGCCCAGACUCCUACGGGAGGCAGCAGUGGGGAAUCUUGCGCGAAUGGGCGAAAGCCUGACGCAGCGACGCCGCGUGAGGGAU